CAGUCCCACUGAUGGGUCAUUUGACUGAAAGUCGGCAUUACCAAGUGGAGAUACGAGUUGCAGGCUGGAGCUGACUCUGGAGUUGUUUAUCAUAGCCUCGCCAGCUGCUGACAUGUGCUGACAAUAGACUUCUCAUUAAGCAACAACUUUAUAGAGAAAUCAGGUCCAGGCAAAAAGAAGAUGGAAAGUUGUGGGAGAGCUGUGCAUGGAGCAAAAGGCUUCAAAUCCUGGACAGACCUCAUGGGCAGCUGGCAGGUUUCUGUAGUUCCUGCAGCAGGAGAGGGCAGCCUGGAGGACCUUAACAGCUGCAGAAGGAAGAUGAUGUUGAGUGCAGAUAUUCCAAAACCUGGACAGAAGCUGUGCCCAGUGGGUUUUUGGAGAGUGCCUGGCCUUAUGUGCAUUUGGACCUAAACAAGGCUUCUUAUCAGAGUCUGGUAGCUUAAGCAGAGAACAAAG
rnacentral:lncRNA from 1 species